UGCCCCGUGGCUGAGUUGGUUACAGCGUCCGACUGUUACUGACAUCGGAAGGUCGUGAGUUCGAGCCUCACCGGGGCAG
rfam:Trametes cinnabarina, BRFM137, WGS project CCBP01000000 data, contig: scf184857